rnacentral:rRNA from 1 species
GACGAACGCUGGCGGCGUGCUUAACACAUGCAAGUCGAACGGAAAGGCCCUGCUUUUGUGGGGUGCUCGAGUGGCGAACGGGUGAGUAACACGUGAGUAACCUGCCCUUGACUUUGGGAUAACUUCAGGAAACUGGGGCUAAUGCCGGAUAGGAGCUCCUGCUGCAUGGUGGGGGUUGGAAAGUUUCGGCGGUUGGGGAUGGACUCGCGGCUUAUCAGCUUGUUGGUGGGGUAGUGGCUUACCAAGGCUUUGACGGGUAGCCGGCCUGAGAGGGUGACCGGCCACAUUGGGACUGAGAUACGGCCCAGACUCCUACGGGAGGCAGCAGUGGGGAAUAUUGCACAAUGGGCGGAAGCCUGAUGCAGCAACGCCGCGUGCGGGAUGACGGCCUUCGGGUUGUAAACCGCUUUCGCCUGUGACGAAGCGUGAGUGACGGUAAUGGAUAAAGAAGCACCGGCUAACUACGUG